rnacentral:rRNA from 1 species
CGGCGUGCCUAAUACAUGCAAGUCGAGCGAACAGACGAGGAGCUUGCUCCUCUAACGUUAGCGGCGGACGGGUGAGUAACACGUGGAUAACCUACCUAUAAGACUGGGAUAACUUCGGGAAACCGGAGCUAAUACCGGAUAAUAUAUUGAACCGCAUGGUUCAAUAGUGAAAGACGGUUUUGCUGUCACUUAUAGAUGGAUCCGCGCCGCAUUAGCUAGUUGGUAAGGUAACGGCUUACCAAGGCAACGAUGCGUAGCCGACCUGAGAGGGUGAUCGGCCACACUGGAACUGAGACACGGUCCAGACUCCUACGGGAGGCAGCAGUAGGGAAUCUUCCGCAAUGGGCGAAAGCCUGACGGAGCAACGCCGCGUGAGUGAUGAAGGUCUUCGGAUCGUAAAACUCUGUUAUUAGGGAAGAACAAAUGUGUAAGUAACUAUGCACGUCUUGACGGUACCUAAUCAGAAAGCCACGGCUAACUACGUGCCAGCAGCCGCGGUAAUACGUAGGUGGCAAGCGUUAUCCGGAAUUAUUGGGCGUAAAGCGCGCGUAGGCGGUUUUUUAAGUCUGAUGUGAAAGCCCACGGCUCAACCGUGGAGGGUCAUUGGAAACUGGAAAACUUGAGUGCAGAAGAGGAAAGUGGAAUUCCAUGUGUAGCGGUGAAAUGCGCAGAGAUAUGGAGGAACACCAGUGGCGAAGGCGACUUUCUGGUCUGUAACUGACGCUGAUGUGC